UACAGAGGGUGCGAGCGUUAAUCGGAAUUACUGGGCGUAAAGCGUGCGUAGACGGUUAUUUAAGUCGGGUGUGAAAGCCCCGGGCUCAACCUGGGAAUUGCAUUCGAGACUGAAUAGCUAGGGUACGGUAGAGGGAAGCGGAAUUUCCGGUGUAGCGGUGAAAUGCGUAGAUAUCGGAAGGAACAUCAGUGGCGAAGGCAGGUCUCUGGGCCACUACUGACGCUGAGAAGCGAAAGCAUGGGGAGCGAACAGG
rnacentral:rRNA from 1 species